ACUAUGUCUGAAAAUGACACCUCCGUGAAGCUCCAUGGCUGAUCGAUUGCUAAACACACAGAUGUCAAAAUCUGGGUACUAGAAAAUGCCAUGUAAAAUGAAACCUAUUAUUGUUAACGAUCUUGAUGUACAAACACACACACCUUUUGAGCUCUGCUUCCAUAUAGCCAAAGCUAAAUCAGCCGGUUGGGAAGUUGUAGGAGAUCCUAUCAAAACCAAUCUUUGAGAUUGACAUGAGAUGACACAGAAAAUGUCCCUGACCCAAGUUUCUGGGAGUUCCUUGCCUUCAGAUGGCAUCUUUCCCCAUGGACAGUGAAUUCCUUAAUAGUGAUUCCUUAAUAGUAGAGAUGUAGGUACUGAAGCAAUGAGGAUGCUGGGUCUGGGAGUGCAUUGCACUGAAACAGUGUGAGAAACAGGGAGCCAAAAUGCAAUAUGUCAUCCUGAGGGAAAUGGAUUUGGUGAUAAAUUUACAAAACUGUGUCCUCCAGUCUGGAUUACAUGACUCCUUGUGUCUUGAGGAAAGAGAACACCAUCAAGAUAUGGCUUGUGACAAGUGAAACACUGGACCACAGAGGGGCAAACAGCAUAUAUGGAAGAUGAAGCAACUAUUUAGUGCACCUCAUACUAUCACUGAGGUACUAAACACACUCCAUGAAGGUCAACAUCAGUGGGAGAGGUGAUUAGAUCACUAAGUGCCUGAUUUGAUGUAUUCAUUUCCCACCAGGAUCUAAUAUUCCAAGCUUUUUUCUCUGUUGUCCCUCCAGAAAUCUCUCAUAGGGCAAAAUGUUGAACAUUGCUGUCAUCCGGAUGGUCACCAGCUCUGUGUCGUACAGCAGCAGUGUGAUGUGGAUCCUGAGUUCCACGGUGUGUGUUAUGUGCACCAUGACUUGAGGUUGAGCCCCAAGGCACUCAUACAAGGCAAGCUCAAGCAAAAUGCCCAGAGCCAAGCCUAAGAGCUCAGACAUGUAUUCUGGAUACACUCUGCAAAGCAAGCCAAGCUAACCCACACAUUUCAGCAGCAGGCAUUGCAAGCACAGUGAGGAUGCUUUAAAUCCAAGCUACGGCUGGGCCAGUAUUUAAAAAAUAAAAUAACCUGGUCUCCAAUGUGUUUAGGCCCACCCUUGAACCCAACUUCCAAGUGCAGGGCAAGGCUGGCUGCCCUUUUGUUCCCAGUGCACUGUAAAUUGCUUGUGUUUCAGCAAGAGUGUAAGCAAAAUAAAAGUUUGAAUGUCUAUGUUCUUUUGGAGUUUCUGUGUGAACACAAUAUGGCAAGUAAUGCAGGUCAAAGGAAGUAAACAAUUAUUUAUGCAAUAUUGUAUCAUGGCUAUAUUUGAUCUGAAAAUCAUAGAAUGGUUGAGGGGAAAAAAAAUAUCCCUAAACCCAGAUUUAUUCUGUGACAAAUGUCAAAGGUUUGCUGCGAACAUCAGAAUUAUAAGAACAUUUCAAUAAAAACCCUCGAACACAGGUUUCAAAAUUAUUUUCUAUCAAA